UACGUAGGGCGCAAGCGUUGUCCGGAAUUAUUGGGCGUAAAGAGCUCGUAGGUGGCUUGUCACGUCGGGUGUGAAAGCUUGGGGGCUUAACUCCAGGUCUGCAUUCGAUACGGGCUGGCUAGAGGUAGGUAGGGGAGAACGGAAUUCCUGGUGUAGCGGUGAAAUGCGCAGAUAUCAGGAGGAACACCGGUGGCGAAGGCGGUUCUCUGGGCCUUACCUGACGCUGAGGAGCGAAAGCGUGGGGGAGCGAACAGG
rnacentral:rRNA from 1 species